GUUAAACUUCGCAAAAUGCCUAGAUAUUAUUCUACUGAAGAUGUGCCUUGAAAGCUGUUGAGCCACAGCAAAAAACCCUUCAGUCAGCACGUGAGAAAAUUGCGAGCCAGCAUUACCCCCGGGACCAUUCUGAUCAUCCUCACUGGACGCCACAGGGGCAAGAGGGUGGUUUUCUUGAAGCAGCUGGCUAGUGGCUUGUUACUUGUGACUGGACCUCUGGUCCUCAAUCGAGUUCCUCUACGAAGAACACACCAGAAAUUUGUCAUUGCCACCUCAACCAAAAUCGAUAUCAGCAAUGUCAAAAUCCCAAAACAUCUUACUGAUGCUUACUUCAAGAAGAAGAAGUUGUGGAAGCCCAGACACCAGGAAGGUGAGAUCUUCGACACAGAGAAAGAGAAAUACGAGAUUACAGAGCAGCGCAAGAUUGAUCAGAAAGCUGUGGACUCACAAAUUCUACCAAAAAUCAAAGCUGUUCCUCAGCUCCAGGACUACCUGCGAUCUGUUUUUGCCCUGACGAAUGGAAUUUAUCCUCACAAAUUGGUGUUCUAGAUGUCUUAAGAACCUCAUUAAAUAGC